UCAAGAAACUUCCACAAUGGGCGAAAGCCUGAUGGAGCGACGUCGCGUGAUGGACGAAGUGCUUCGGCACGUAAACAUCUUUUUAUGUGGGAUGAAAUUAUUGACAGUACCACAUGAAUAAGGGGCUCCUAACUCUGUGCCAGCAGGAGCGGUAAUACAGAGGCCCCAAGCGUUAUCCCGAAUCACUGGGCGUAAAGGGUGUCGAGGCGGUUGUAUUAGUCGUUCGUAAAAUCUACGAGCUUAACUUGUAGGCGGCGAACGAAACGGUACGACUUGAGGUUUGGAGAGGUGCGUGGAACUCACGGUGUAGGGGUGAAAUCCGUUGAUAUCGUGGGGAACACCAAAGGCGAAGGCAGCGCACUGGCCAAAAUCUGACGCUCACACACGAAAGCUAGGGUAGCGAAGAGGAUUAGAUACCCGCGUAGUCCCUGAGCGGGCUGGCAAGGCGCAU
rnacentral:rRNA from 1 species